GCCCGGGUGGUGGAACAGGCAGACACAAGGGACUUAAAAUCCCUCGGUAGCAAUACCAUGCGAGUUCGAUUCUCGCCCCGGGCACCA
rnacentral:tRNA from 5 species